rnacentral:rRNA from 1 species
GCUCAGGAUGAACGCUGGCGGCGUGCCUAAUACAUGCAAGUCGAGCGAACAGAUAAGGAGCUUGCUCCUUUGACGUUAGCGGCGGACGGGUGAGUAACACGUGGGUAACCUACCUAUAAGACUGGGAUAACUUCGGGAAACCGGAGCUAAUACCGGAUAACAUUUGGAACCGCAUGGUUCUAAAGUGAAAGAUGGUUUUGCUAUCACUUAUAGAUGGACCCGCGCCGUAUUAGCUAGUUGGUAAGGUAACGGCUUACCAAGGCGACGAUACGUAGCCGACCUGAGAGGGUGAUCGGCCACACUGGAACUGAGACACGGUCCAGACUCCUACGGGAGGCAGCAGUAGGGAAUCUUCCGCAAUGGGCGAAAGCCUGACGGAGCAACGCCGCGUGAGUGAUGAAGGGUUUCGGCUCGUAAAACUCUGUUAUUAGGGAAGAACAAAUGUGUAAGUAACUGUGCACGUCUUGACGGUACCUAAUCAGAAAGCCACGGCUAACUACGUGCCAGCAGCCGCGGUAAUACGUAGGUGGCAAGCGUUAUCCGGAAUUAUUGGGCGUAAAGCGCGCGUAGGCGGUUUCUUAAGUCUGAUGUGAAAGCCCACGGCUCAACCGUGGAGGGUCAUUGGAAACUGGGAAACUUGAGUGCAGAAGAGGAAAGUGGAAUUCCAUGUGUAGCGGUGAAAUGCGCAGAGAUAUGGAGGAACACCAGUGGCGAAGGCGACUUUCUGGUCUGUAACUGACGCUGAUGUGCGAAAGCGUGGGGAUCAAACAGGAUUAGAUACCCUGGUAGUCCACGCCGUAAACGAUGAGUGCUAAGUGUUAGGGGGUUUCCGCCCCCUUAGUGCUGCAGCUAACGCAUUAAGCC